rnacentral:snRNA from 1 species
GUGCUUGCUUUGGCAGCACAUACACUAAAAGUGGAACAAUAUAAAGCAUAUUAGCAUGGCUCCUGUGUAAGGAUGACACAUAAAUUCAUGAAGCAGUCCAUAUUUGG